CGGACGGGUGAGUAACGCGUGAGAAUCUGCCCAUAGGACGGGGACAACAUCGGGAAACUGGUGCUAAUACCGGAUGAGCCGCGAGGUAAAACAUUUAUGGCCUAUGGAGGAGCUCGCGACUGAUUAGCUAGUUGGUGGGGUAAGAGCUUACCAAGGCGACGAUCAGUAGCUGGUCUGAGAGGAUGAUCAGCCUCACUGGGACUGAGACACGGCCCAGACUCCUACGGGAGGCAGCAGUGGGGAAUUUUCCGCAAUGGGGGCAACCCUGACGGAGCAACGCCGCGUGAGGGAAGAAUGGUUGUGGCCAGUAAACCUCUUUUAAUAGGGAAGAAAUCUGACGGUACCUAUUGAAUAAGCAUCGGCUAACUCCGUGCCAGCAGCCGCGGUAAUACGGAGGAUGCAAGCGUUAUCCGGAAUUAUUGGGCGUAAAGCGUCCGCAGGUGGUUAGUCAAGUCAGCUGUAAAAGACUCAGGCUUAACUUGGGAUGUGCAGUUGAAACUGAUUGACUAGAGUACGGUAGGGGUAGAGGGAAUUCCUAGUGUAGCGGUGAAAUGCGUAGAUAUUAGGAAGAACACCAGUGGCGAAGGCGCUCUACUGGGCCUGUACUGACACUGAGGGACGAAAGCUAGGGGAGCGAAAGGGAUUAGAUACCCCAGUAGUC
rnacentral:rRNA from 1 species